UCAAAAUAUAGUGGAAUGAAAGCGCUUAUUCCAUCUAUUCUUAAAUGGAGAGAGCUCACCAAAGCCAGGGACUGGAGAGAAUUUGGGACAAAUCCUCCUUUAUAAUGAUGAAAAGCGCCUGCUUCUGAAGGCGGAGGCGUUACCCUGGAGGCCACUGGAGGUACUGAGAAGUAGGAGAUGUUCACUGGCUUCUAACCCUUUUCUCCAUACCAUUUAUUCUUGGCUCGCCAGAGGAUUCUGCCUCCACAGAGAUGAAAACCACCAUUUUCCACACAGAUAAGCGGAGCCAUUAGAACGAGCCCAGCGUACCAGUGCUAGCUUGGAUGCUGAGCAGCAAAGCCCAAUGGAGUCAGAGCUCCCGGCCCCAGUCAGUGGCUGCGGCUCGGCUUCCAGACGCGGCUCUGGGGUGUCCGCCUCUGAACGGAGAGCUCCCGGGCCCUCGCUAGAGGUGGGCCCUUAGUCAGCGCUCACGAGCUCCUGCCAAAAGAAUCCACCAAGAAGGCGUCACCAUCACAGGAGCACAACAGCGACGCGACUUCCCUCCGCGGGUAGCCUGGGCUCCCCUCUCAAAGAAACCAACUUCCGGCAAAGAAGGGCCCCAAACCGGUGAGGCGCUGCUCCACGUGCCAAAGCAAUUGCCGACGCCCACGCCACAAGCCAAGUAAACCUUCCCUCCCGGCGCCGUGCUUUCCUGGGUGGCUCCACUGAGGAGUCUGGCCACGCACCGGGCCUGGCACAGACACUCACUCCUCUGCCCUCACGCUAGAAGCUUCAGUCCUGAAGGCCAUUUCCCCCUUUGGCCCCUCGGUGUGCAUUUCAUCCUGCAGGGCGCUGCGCUCCUCCUCUGGGGCAGUGCUUCCGGGGGACACUGACAAGGAGCUCCUCCAGCCUCUGCCCUCCAGUCAAGGCCCGUUUAGGCCCUGCUGCUGCUGCUUCCGCUUGCUGAAGGGAGUCGGCACUGAUUCUCUUAGCCAACCGCUAGAUGGGAUGCCAGUUGGCUUUGUGCAAUGGCCAAGACUGCUAAUUCUCUCAGGUUGUUGAAGGAGUUUCUUCACAGCUCGGGAGAGGAAACUCCUUACCACGUCCUUGACACAAGAAAGAAAUGAAUCACUUCACAAGAAGAACUCAAUGAAAACGGACGGCUCUACGAAAAGUCACCGCGCCUGGCCAAGAGAGGCCCCCAGUCUUGGGGCCAUCACCCGAGGGAGGGUCACAGAAACGUUUCCAGCCUCAGGACGCGCCAGCGGCUAAGCUCUUCUUUUCCAGUGAUGCCGGAGCUCCAGGGGUUACAUAUACAGUACUUGGAGAAAUCGGGAAUGGACAUGGAUUCUUAUACUGGAGGUCCAUGGAAAGAACACCUUCUCCCCUGAAAAAGGCUGCGUUUGAGGCAGUUUCCUCGGGCCGGGCCUUUAAACAAGGCUGGACGACCAUUCUUUCGGGAGAGAGGAUGAGGCGGCCUUUGAGGACCCUCCCAGACAAGAUUCUGUAAAGCUCUGUGCUGUUCCUUUCUGAAUUUUAGGAUACUUCCAACAAAUGGCGAUUUGGGCAGGGCGCAGGGAAGAGAUCCCAACUAUGAUGGAGGGUCUGACUAAUGAGGACAACUGGAGACCUGACAUUGAAACCAGCCUCCCCCACCCCCAACGUCUGCAACUUCAGGACGCGGUGGUCACCCACUCAUCUUUCUAUUUAGGGGCUGGGGGUGGGGAGGAUUGAGAGGAAGGUCAAAGGUCCAGACCAGGAGCUCCCAGUGAGGAAACUCCCCACAUCCAUGCAGAUUCACAGAUGUUCUGAGACACCAAGGGAGGCUGAAUGCCUUGCCCAGAAGCACAGUGGGCGUCACUCAGAGAGGGGACAGAUGUCUGGUGUCUUCCUGACCCUGAAGCUAAGGUGAACUUUCCAUCCACUAAGUCGCGCCUCCUUUCAAUAUGCAAGUGUCUGUUUUAUACAUACACAUACAAAAGAGAAGACACAGGCUAUUUAUGGUACCUUUCUGAUGUUGGGACUGCUGGGAUUCUCCUGGCUUCUGUGCUACAAUUCAAAGGAUGUAAUAGACCUAGACAGAUUUCCUGGCAUCCUUCCAUCCUAAGAUUUCCUACAAUUAUUAUACUGAUGAAUCAAAUCUAAUUUUAACAAGCAAGGCUUCUGUUGUCAGCAACCAUUGUUCAAGGAUUCAAAGAAAAAUCUCCACAAUACAUCUUUAUGACUUUUGAUAUCACCAUUCCUGCAAUGUGUAGUUCAUGGCACGUGUGGUAAAAGAAGGAAAAGACAAGAAAAAACAUUUUCCAUCAUGGAGCAAAGAGAAUGUUUACUGCUAAGGCAGCUAGGUGGCUCCAUGGAUUGAGAAUCAUACCUAGAAACAGAAGAUCCUGAUCCAAAUUUAGUCUCAGACCGUUCCUCACUGUGUGACCCUGGAAAGAAUAUGUUGGAUUAAAUUGAACUGAACCAAAUUAUAAGUGAAUAUAAGAAAACACCAAUUGUCUGAAAUAUAAAAACCAAAGAGGAACAUCAAUAAGCCCUUUCAUCCAACUCUAGCCUGCACACAAAGGCAGCCAGAAGCUAUCAACAGUGGAAGAAGCAUCCUGCUAGGUAAGGCAGUAUGAGCUAAAAUGAAUGGGCAGGAAGCCUAUACUAGUACUAGAACUCAUGAAGCCAUGGGGCACUGCAUGCCUAUAGCAGAAUGUGGCCUGAGGGAAUUUUUAGAGGGGAAUGAAAUCACUAAGCAAGACUCAGGCCAAGGAAACAUCUGGGGAUGCAGUGACUCACUGGGGAGCCAAGUUCAAGAACUAGGGGCAUUGAAGCAUGCUGGUAACUCUGGGCAUGGAGACAUCAAAGGAGGUGAAGGUCAGCUACAGAAGCCCAAGGGCAGCAAGGGGCCCUGGAACAAAAACCUAACUCAAUUGAGGUUGCAGAUAUAAGUAAAGAAAAGCUACUGAAUACUCUAAAGAAAUGUUAUUUCUCUAAAGAAAGCCAAGAAACAAACUCUGAAGGAAAGAGAAACUCCACAAUGACUACUGACAAAACCUUAAGGGAAAAAAAGUAGAUUAGUUACAAGGAGUUCAACAGUACCUGAAUGAAAUGAAAUGACAGAUAAGAAAUAAAAUUAUAAAUUAAAUAAAAGCUCUGAAAGAAAGAACUGGAAGGAAAAAAAACAGCUUCUGCUAGGAAGUAGAAAACUUUCAUCAAGAAACAGACCCCCCCCCCCAGGAAAUUAGAACAGAACAAAGAAAACUCAACAUUUCCUUGGAAUAAUAAAUACUAGAAAUAAGCCAAAAUAUUGAAAAACAGAAAUUGAAGAAAAUGUUACAUAUCUACAAUAAAAAACAAUUAAGCUGGAAAACAGAUGAAGGAAGUAAUUAAAAAAAAAAACAUUUAACUCCCUGAAAUAUAGUGCUCUUUGCCACCCCCCACCCCAACCUGGAAACUUCAAGAAAUUUCAAGAAAGAUUAAAUGAAAACAUAUUUGCUACAAUGUAUUUCAGAUUUAAUAGAAAAAAAAGAGAAAACAAAAAGAACACACCAGUCAUUUGCUAAAAGAAGUUUCCCAAAUUAAAAUUCCCAAGGAUGUCAUAGCCAAAAUCCAAAGUAAUCAUGUCCAAGAAAAAUACCACAAAAAGCCAGAAACAAUUCCAUUCCCAAGAUUACAGUCAGAAUCUUUUAAGACUUGGCAGCAACAACUGAGAAGAAGAGAAAAUCUAGGAAUACAAUAUUCCUAAGCAAGAAGAAUACAACUUGGAAUAAUUUAUACUACAAGGCUGGGUUUAACCCUCCAUGGAAAAAAAAAUGUAUAUUUUAUGGAAAAAGAACUUUUUUUUUAAAACCUUUUAUACCUUCUGUCUUAGAAUUGAUACUAAAUUCUAAGACCGCAGAGCUGUAAGGGUUAAGCAAUUAGGGUUAACUGACUUGUUUAGAGUCAUCCAGCUAAAAAGUAUCUGAGGCUAGACUUGAACCGAGAUCUUUCUGACUUCAAGCCAAGUUCUCUUUACAAUAUACUAGGAAAAACAUGUGCAACUCAAAAAGCUUUUUCACAUAAUUAGGAAGUGCAAAAAAAAAAAAAAAAGAAAAGAAUCAUAGGGAAACUAUUAAUUGGUGGAAAGAAACUUUGUAGCAAGUUCCUCUAACAGUUGUGAUAGAGAAUUGAUUCAAAUAUGUAAGGAUAAGAGCCAUUUCCCAAUAGGAAAAUGGUCAUAAUAUUUUAAUAGGAAGUUCUAAAAGAAGAAAAGUAAAAUAACCAAUAAUGACAUGAAAAAAUUGCUCCCAAUCAUUUAAGAUAAGAGAAAGGCAAAUUAAAACGACUUUGAAGUUCUACCUCAUAUGCAUCAAACUGGUCAAGAUCAGACAAAAGAAAAACAAAACAAAUUUUUGAGGGACUUUUCAGAGGAUUGGCACGUUGAUGCACCAUUGAUAGGGCUGUGGAUUGGUCCACUCCAUUCUGGAAAAUAAUCUGGAAGUAUACACAAAGUUUAACUCAACUGUAUGCUCUUUAAACAUUACAAUUCUAGGCUAUCCUUCAGAGAGAUGAAAGAAAAAAAUAUAUGAACAAGAACUCUUGCUGUAGCAAAGAAAUAGAACCUGAGUGCUUAUUAAUUGGGGAAUGGCUGAACAAAUUAUGGUAUGGGAAUGUAAAGAAAUAUUACGUAUUAUAAGAAAUGACAAAAGAUUCUGAGAAACCUGAGAAGGGCUUAUAUAAACUCAGAGAGAGUGAUGUAAGCAGGAACAAGAAAAAAUGACUAUAACAUUGUUAAAGAAAAAUAACUUUGAAAUAAUUAACAACUUUGUCCAAUGCAAUGACCAACCAUAACAUCAGAGUACCAUUGAUGAAGCUUAUUUCUCACUUCUUAAGAGAAUACUGUUGUAUAUAUGAGACACUUCUGGACAUGGCCAAUAUCUGAGUUUCUUUUCUUUGAUUAUGUCACAAGGGGAGUGUUUGUGGAGCCCAUAAAGAAGAACAUAAUAACGGUGACCCCUUCCCUCCUUCAUAGCAAAGGACAGUCAGAGAGGAACACAGACAAGCAGAACAGUUUUGGGACUAAUGUGAUUUUUUUUUUUAAAUCAAGAUGUAUGUAAUGAGAUUCUCAAUUUCAUAUAAUAUGAUGUGCCUCCUUUGUUCCUCUUAGUAUAUGGAAGCUGAGAAAGAUAAUUAAAAUUUUUUUAAGUAUUCAAAUAAGUUCAUUAACUAGCACAGACAGUGCUCAAAUUAAAAAGUAUAAAAGCAAUCCAAUUAUGACGACUAAAUUCCUUGAUUCUCCAUAUCAUAUAGUUACAGAAUGAUUCUUUUCUAUGUCCAUCCAUACCCUGCUCAACAUUAAAUUAUUUUGCUAGAAAUAAUACAACGGAAAAAUAAUUUUGUAUAGAUGACAUUUUAAUUCAAAGUUAUGUCCCAAUGUAGCUAAAAUCUGAAUGAUGAAAAUUUCAAAUAGACACAAAAUAGAGAUAAUGGCAAUAAUAGUAACCCCUCUAUAUUCACAUAUGUCCCCCAAAACUUUUUCCUUUUCCAAUUCAUAGGUUCAUAUAAUGUGUGGGUUUGGGUAGGGACCCACAUAUAUAUUUUUACAUAUUUUUUUAUCCCCAAUCUGGCCCUUCUCAGCUUUGCCCUGGUAUCCAUGCAGCUAAGUCUCAAGGAAAAGAAGGCAAGAAGUAGCACUACAAUAUACCUGGUACUCUCCUAGGGCUGUCUCCCCAGGUUGUAAGUGAUGGAAAAUCAACAAAAUUGGGGGGUGGUUGAGAGUGGAGGAGUCCAUUUCCUCUUGGCUGAGAUACUCUGGAUUCCUUGUAGUUGUCCCAGGCAUGGCAUGGCUACCAUUUUCUAAUUAGUUGGACUUAACACCUUCUACCAAUUAAGAGGAGGGAGAAUUCUCCCAAGACACAGACAGUUGAGGUUGCUACAUCUAGGACCAUUUCAUGGCAAGUUUUCAGACAAUUUAACAUGAGUUGUUAUUGUUUCUUUAAAUAAUGUAUUAAAUUCUAACUUUUUUCUCAUCCAAAAGAAGACCCUCCCAUCCACCCCCAUCCCUCGAAACCUAUCCUUGGAACCAAGAUUAAGAAUUCAUGUCAGAGCAUUAGCAAAUCAAAAAUGUGGUAGAUACUAUUUUGUUUUGACUUUUAAAAAACCUAAAAGGUCAGAUCUGUCAUUAAAGAAAGCAAAUAAGCACA